GAAAUGCGAUAAGUAGUGUGAAUUGCAGAAUUCAGUGAAUCAUCGAAUCUUUGACCGCACAUUGCGCCCUUUGGUAUUCCAAAGGGCAUGCCUGUUCGAGCGUCAUUUGUACCCUCAAGCUUUGCUUGGUGUUGGGCGUCUUGUCUCUAGCUUUGCUGGAGACUCGCCUUAAAGUAAUUGGCAGCCGGCCUACUGGUUUCGGAGCGCAGCACAAGUCGCACUCUCUAUCAGCAAAGGUCUAGCAUCCAUUAAGCCUUUUUUCAACUUUUGACCUCGGAUCAGGUAGGGAUACCCGCUGAACUUAAGC
rnacentral:misc_RNA from 1 species